UUACAUGACUACAACAUAUUGUUAAUGCACUGGAUCCCAUUAGAAAUCCACAGUUAAACGUGCUCGAGCUAGAGUAGUACUAGGAUGGGUGACCACUCGAGAAGUCUUAGUGUUUUGCAUG
rfam:Picea glauca, whole genome shotgun sequence.